AUCUGAUUAAUUAAUAAAAAUAACAUGACAUGUCAACUCCAUAAAAGAUGAAAUGUAUUGUUGUUUUUAUUGACCAAUCAGAACAUGACACAUGACAAU
rnacentral:pre_miRNA from 1 species